AUGUAUUGUGUGGAAAACAGUAUCGUCUAGAACAGAAAAGCUCGCAUUAACUAUCUCAGCUCCUUCUUCAUGAAGAACUCGAAUAGUCUCAUUGAACAUGAACUGGCUAUCCAAUCCAGUUAUCAAAACAACCUCUAAAGCUGAACCAAUUUCAUGAAUCUCAAUUUUUGGAUAUCUUAGGCGCAUUGUUGCUCCACUACUCACGCUUGUAUUUGGCCUUUCUUGAGUUCCCAUUAAACUUUCUUUCCUUUCCUUCAUUUUCUCCAGAUUUGUCUGCAGCUUUUUUAUAUACUUUGCAGCCUCAUCUAGCUGAUCA
rnacentral:misc_RNA from 1 species